GGUGCGUUAGUUCAGUUGGUUAGAAUGCCAGCCUGUCACGCUGGAGGUCACGAGUUCGAGCCUCGUACGCACCGCCA
rnacentral:tRNA from 1 species